CCCCUAGAUGUUCUGGGCCGCACGCGCGCUACACUGAACAGUUCAACAAGUCUUAACCUUGGCCGAUAGGUCUGGGUAAUCUUUGAACGCUGUUCGUGAUUGGGAUAGACCUUUGCAAUUAUGGGUCUUCAACGAGGAAUUCCUAGUAAACGCAAGUCAGCAGCUUGCAUUGAUUACGUCCCUGCCCUUUGUACACACCGCCCGUCGCACCUACCGAUUGAAUGGUCCGGUGAAAUCUCGGGACGGCGGCUUGGUCGCUUGCGUCCGACUGCUGAAACUUGAUUAAACCAUAUCAUUUAGAGGAAGGUGAANUCGUAACA
rnacentral:rRNA from 1 species